rnacentral:tRNA from 1 species
GAGGGCAUAGCUCAGUGGUAGAGCGCAUGCUUAGCAUGCAUGAGGUCCUGGGUUCAAUCCCCAGUACCUACA